GCUGGGAUUACAGGCGCCCGCCACCAUGCCCAGUUAAUUUUUUGUAUUUUUAGUAGAGACGGGGUUUCACCAUGUUAGCCAGGAUGGUAUCAAUCUCCUCACCUCGGAGAUCAACUUUUUAAGCUACCAUAUAUGAGUGAGAUACAUGUGAUAUUUGUCUUUCUGUGCCUGGCUUAUUUCAUUUAACAUGACCUCCAGUUCCAUUCAUGUUGCUGCAAAUAACAUAAUUUCAUUCUUUUUUAUGGUCAAAUAAUUGCAUAGACAUUUCUCCAGAUACAUACAAAUGACCAACAGCUAUAUGACAAGGUGCUCAGUGUCACUAACCAUCAGCAAAACUCAAAACCACAAUGAGGUAUUAUUUCACACCUGUUAGGAUGGUUAUUAUCAAAAAGACAAGAAGAGGUAACAAGUGUUGGUGAGAGUGUGGAGAAAAGGGAACCCUUGUACACUGUUGGUGGGAAUGUAAAUUGGCACAGCCAUUAUGGAAAACAGUAUGAAGGCUCCUCAAAAAAUUAAAAAUCGAAUUACCAUAUGAUCCAGGAAUUCCAUUUCUGGGUAUAUAUUCGAAGAAAAUGAAAUUACUAUCUUAAAGAGAUAUCUGCACUCCGUGUUCACUGUAGCAUUAUUCACAGCAGCCAAGACAAGGCAGAACCUAAGCGC
rnacentral:lncRNA from 1 species